rnacentral:rRNA from 1 species
AACGAACGCUGGCGGCAGGCUUAACACAUGCAAGUCGAACGCCCCGCAAGGGGAGUGGCAGACGGGUGAGUAACGCGUGGGAAUCUACCCAUCUCUGCGGAAUAGCUCCGGGAAACUGGAAUUAAUACCGCAUACGCCCUACGGGGGAAAGAUUUAUCGGGGAUGGAUGAGCCCGCGUUGGAUUAGCUAGUUGGUGGGGUAAAGGCCUACCAAGGCGACGAUCCAUAGCUGGUCUGAGAGGAUGAUCAGCCACAUUGGGGCUGAGACACGGCCCAAACUCCUACGGGAGGCAGCAGUGGGGAAUAUUGGACAAUGGGCGCAAGCCUGAUCCAGCCAUGCCGCGUGAGUGAUGAAGGCCUUAGGGUUGUAAAGCUCUUUCACCGGUGAAGAUAAUGACGGUAACCGGAGAAGAAGCCCCGGCUAACUACGUGCCAGCCGCCGCGGUAA